rnacentral:rRNA from 1 species
CCCUUAGAUGUCCUGGGCCGCACGCGCGUUACACUGAUGCAUUCAACGAGCCUAUAACCUUGGCCGAGAGGCCUGGGCAAUCUUGUUAACGUGCAUCGUGAUAGGGAUAGAUUAUUGAAAUUAUUAAUCUUGAACGAGGAAUUCCUAGUAAACGCAGAUCAUCAAUCUGCAUUGAUUACGUCCCUGCCCUUUGUACACACCGCCCGCCGCACCUACCGAUUGGAUGGUCCGGUGAAGCCUCGGGAUUGUGGUUCUUGCCGCUUUAUUGUGGCGUGACCGCGAGAACUUGUCUAAACCUUAUCAUCUAGAGGAAGGUGAAGUCGUAACA